rnacentral:rRNA from 1 species
UACGGAGGGUGCAAGCGUUAAUCGGAAUUACUGGGCGUAAAGCGUGCGUAGGCGGUUCGUUAAGUCUGUUGUGAAAGCCCCGGGCUCAACCUGGGGAUGGCAAUGGAUACUGGCGAGCUAGAGUGUGUCAGAGGAUGGUGGAAUUCCCGGUGUAGCGGUGAAAUGCGUAGAGAUCGGGAGGAACAUCAGUGGCGAAGGCGGCCAUCGUGGGACAACACUGACGCUGAGGAGCGAAAGCGUGGGA